GUGCCCGCUCCCGGCGCCCCGUCUGGGAUGUCCCGCAAACAGGCGGCCAAGGCCCGGCCCGCCGGGGCCAGGAAGGGCCGACGGCCCCGCAACCCCCCCGCCGGAUCGGCCCCGGGCCCUGCACCGGGCGGCGGCGGCGGCGGCGGCGGCCUCGCCGGGCAGCUCCGGGCCCUCGGCCUCAAGCUGCGGGAGGUGCCGGGCGAUGGCAACUGCUUGUUUCGGGCCCUGGGUGACCAGCUUGAGGGGCACUCCAGGAACCACCUGAGGCAUCGGCAGGAAACAGUGGAUUACAUGGUGAAGCGGAGGGAGGACUUUGAGCCAUUUGUGGAGGAUGAUGUGCCCUUUGAGAAACACGUUACCAAUCUGGCCAAGCCUGGGACCUUUGCUGGCAAUGAUGCUAUUGUGGCCUUUGCAAGGAACAAUCAAAUCAAUGUGGUUAUUCAUCAGCUCUAUGCUCCACUGUGGCAGAUCCGGGGCACAGACAAGAGCAAUGUGAGGGAGCUGCACAUUGCUUAUCGUUACGGGGAGCACUAUGACAGCGUGAGGAGGAUCAACGAUGACUCAGAAGCUCCGGCAUAUCUUCAGAUGGAGAUGCUUUGCAAAAACAAUGCAAAUAAGACAGAGGAAGUGGAGCCACAGAAGGGUGAUUCUGAGGAUGAGACCGAAGCGGAAAUGGAAAAUGCUGUACAAAAAGUGUGCAAUGCAACAGGGUGUUCAGACAUGGAUUUAGUAAGCCACGUCCUGGAAGCAGAGGAUUACAACACAGAAUCUGCAAUAUUUGCCAUCUUACAAGUGAAGGAAGGAGAAGGAACAAGUACCGAGGAGCAGCAGAAACCCCAGAGCAGGGAUCAGAAAUCCUGCAGCAAAACACUGUGGGAGGAGAAUGGAAGCGGUUCAAGAAUCUUUGGAAAUCAGAGCUUGGAUCAAAGUGAAACAGGAAACAACAAAGGACAGGCUGGAUCCAGUGGAGAGAACCAAGCCAGCAGGAACCCACAGGUAGCUAAAAAACAGAAGAAGGAGCAGCAGAGGCUGGAGAAGAAGAAGCGGCAGGAGGAGAGGCACCAGCAGAAGGUCUUGGCCAGGAAGAACAACUGUGCAGACAACAGGACAGAGACAGACCCCACCAACCACAUCACCUUGGUGAAGACCAUGGCAGCCCUAAACAUAUGACUGAGUGUGUGCUGAGUACUCUGGGGAGAAAAGCAAAUAAAACUGAUGAAGACAAAACUCCCCCUGAGCAAAUUUCCAGGCACCCUUUGUUACCCUAAAAUCGGUUUCUGCGGAGGUUUUCAAGGACAAGAGAAAUUUCUGUUCCUUUGGUUGCGGGGAGGACAGUUACUCAGUGAUUCUGCAUCAACCUGUGUGUGAGAAGAGUUGUUUGAACUUAAAAAGUAGAGACUUGGGUUUGUAAUUUUGGAGUUAGAUGAAGGCAGGAAUGAAGUGACAAGUUUUAAUCUCACUAGAACUGUUGGCCCUCGUUCAGAAGCGAUUAAUACGUAAAGGGAGAAUGGGAUUGCUGCAUCCAUGCUUGCUGAAGUUUGGGACCAGCUCCUUUGCUACCUGAGACCUGUAGAGAGACAUAAACCCACCCAAAAUAGUAAUACCAGUGCAGAGCCAACUCAUCUGAUCUGGUGAUGGUUGAUGAGGCUGUAAAAUGUGACAGGAGCAGGCAGGAGAUUUCUGGUGAGCGUUGUUACUUGGACACCUGGAAUCUCAUCCCCUUUGUCAUAUUUUGGAGCUUUUGGGCUACUCCAGAGCUUUAGUCCAAGAUAGGAACUUGAUAGGCGUUAGUCUCCAAAUUACAUUAGUGUAGCUAAAGGAACAAGAGUCCUGGGAACAAGCUUCCAAGCAGCAGUACUCCCUGGGAAACCUGCCUGUUUCACUUCAUAAAUCAACCUUUUUCCAGGGUAGAAUUUUUCCAUCUUAAAUUCCAUUUUGGUGAGGUCACCAAGUAGGAUGUACAGCUUGACUCCAGUGAUAAUUUCCACUGUAGGACUGAGGAUUUGGACCAAGGUUUUCACCUUGGACUGUGGGAUUCAGCUCUGGAUUUAUGGCUCCCAGUGUUUCAGCAUUACUCAGGUUUUUGGAUUUGUGACGAGCACUAAGCUUGAAGAAAGCACACAUGCACUUACACAACAGCAGGAGACACCUCAUCAGCCAGGGCAGAGGUGAAGGGGAUUUUUUGAAAGUAAGGAACGUUGCUUUUGAAAAAAAAAUAAAUCUAUGUGUGCUUUGAAGUUUAUAAAUCAGCAUGAAAAUAUAAAUGCCUUUUUUUACUGAA